UUAAUUGUUAAUAAAGUGUUUACAACCUAAUUCAUAACCUAAUUAUAAACCCUUUAUGAAUCCUUCAUAAGGGUAGUCUUAGUGUAAAGUGGAACCAACAUUUCUUUCACUUAACCCAGAUUUUAAAAUGUGAAGUGGGUAAAACUUACUUUGCAUUUUUUAAACUGGUCAAUCCUUUUACACUGCGCCUUUCAAUUGAAUUAAUAAUAAAAGGAUGUGUCAGAUUUUCCAUUUAUAGUGCACUUUUAUCAGCACGUCCCCAAACAGAGGCGUUGUCAUCCGGAGUAAAAACGUAUUUCAUUCCGACGAGUUGAGUAGAGUUUUACCAUGCGGUGUAAAUGAGGCUUUAGGUCUCUGUUAACAUCCUCUCUGAUAUUUUAUCACUAAAGACGUGACGACUAUAGGGAUCCAGAGGCUCAGGACAGAGGCCUCACUCUGCCCAGGGUGGUGGUGUUGGAGAGCCGGCCCACAGACAACCCGACAGCCCACAGCAACCUCUACAUCCUGGCAGGCCAUGAAAACAGCUACUGAGACACACACAAACACACACACAAACACACUCUCUAAACACCCCUCCACUAAUGCAAACAAGGGAGUGAGCAACCGGGAAAAGACCCCCACCUUUACCGCUUACCCCCCCCCAAAAAAAACUCCUGUGUCCCCUUGGAGAGGAGACGAUCAAGGGGCAGAUGUGUGUUCCCAGUUGCAGAUGUUUAAAAUGCACCGCAGUGUUACAUGUGUUUUAGUUGUGUUGUAGGGCAGCGGGUUGUGGAGCGAGGGUUAGAAACUGCAGAUCUGAGGUCAGUUUGGGUUGAGGUAAUCGGAGGAAAUUGCACCUUAGUCGAGCAAAUUAAACCCAGAAUCCUUCCCACAUCUCCCCGUAUACUGCACACUGGGAAAACAGAAGUCUGACGUCAACACUACUUCUACUACUAGUACUACACAUAUUACUACUGCUACUGCUACUUGCGCUAAGCUUCACAGAAGAGCCAUCUUGCACAGAAAACGUUUCUCUACUCCAUCGUCCUUUCCUCUGUCUUUCAUUUCCCCCCUUUCUUUUUUUUUAAAUACACUUUUAUUUAUUGUCGCAUGAUGUAACUUUAACAACCAGGAUGGCUUUCCUGUUUUAUUUGUUUCUAAACAUAAAAAGCUUUGCCAACUCUGCUAGCAUUGAAUUCUGAUAUCCGUCACCCACACACCACACAAGUGCUUAAUUGACCUCUAUUUAAUUGUUGUAAAUAUAAAUGUAGUAUUUUUUUGACAGAGACGAACACUAAUGGUCAUGUAGAUAGGCGUGUGUAUAGUUGCUCUGUACAACUGUGGAGACAAGCGGAGAGACAGUGGGCGAGUGAUGAAGCAGUAGAUUCACUUCCUGGUUCCCUGAUCAUGUGACGAGGGUCAGGAAGCCCUGCCGUCUCCUCAGGUGGACAGCUUCAGUAAUCUGAUAUUACUCUCAUAGUCUGGAGCUCAGCGUUGAACCGAGCUGACACAGAAAUGAUCGUUUUCAUGUUGCAUGCAUCAUCAAUGAAACCCGUUUGUACCAUAGCGACAGUCGUCAGGGCAACGGGCGUUACAAAUUCUCUUCAUUCAAGUUAGUUUUUCGACAUUCACCCCUUUUUAUGGUUUUUAUCAGAACGUUUUUUUUUAUUUUGCUAUUUUUUAUCGAACCACUGGUGUUAUACAUUUGCACAGAGAAAAAGAUAUUUGAUAAACAGAUGUGAUGUCAUUCUAAUAUAUGCCCUUGUGUGUGUGCACAGUGUGUGUGUUUCCGUGUGUGUGUAGACAUAGAACAUGCACAUACCAGUGCGUCAUGUGCAGAUCUGGUCUUUAACAAGUGACAGUUGUGUUUCAGCUCAAGGUCAAUUUAAAAAAAAAAAAAGCACCUAUAUAUUAAAAAAGCUGGAUUUACACAGAAGGAAACAUCAUUUUUUUUAUUUUUUGCAAUAAAUAGACUUUUCAAGGAUGGGGCGCACCAUAUUAAAAGUACAGUGGGCCUUUCUGUUUAAACAAUCCCAUAAUAUAGUCAAAAUGGUUUUAUAUAUUUCACUUCACAUGAUUAUAGGACACUUUCACAUUUAGGCAAAACACAUUUACUGUAGGGAGCAAAUGGAAGAGCUUAGCUUGUGACAAAAUGGAUUUUAACUUCUGUGUAAAUCCACAUUUUUUCUUUACUGUAAGUGAUUGUAUUUUUAACCUCGGCCUUCACUGCUGUGACUUUUUUUAAAGGCCGACAUCUGUAUAAGAGAUCACUACAUGCAUGUAGAUGUGUGGUGUGUAGGAGCGUCUACAUGUGGCCGUACACUACGUCUCUACAAGCUGUGACACUACAGGUAGCUUCAGAGGAACAUAGCUGAGACAUCAAUGUUAACCCUGAUGUCUUACAGAGCUGAAACAUUUUGGGUUUAUUGAUUUCCUUCGUAGAAACACAGGUAUAUAAGCUUAUAACUACUCCCAAGUUAAUGGUAAUUAACUUAAUCAGGUCAUUCACUACAAUAAAAUAUCAAUAAUAUGACGAUAGAGACCUGAUUAAGAAUAACCACCAUGGUCACAGUAAUGUCUUUGAAUUCAAUCGAGACAUUUUGAAUUUUAUAAGAAUUUGACCGACAAUUUCAUUAUUCAACGUCAUGACAACAGCCAUGACAUCGAAUUGAAAGGAACAAUAAGUGUUUUUAAAAAUAUUGAGGCUGGCUGUGGAGUAAAUGGGAGAUUACCUAAUGUCUAAGUGCAUUUCAGCUCUAUAGAUUUGUCACUGAAUGUGUAUACAGUGUUUUUAAAAGGGACAUUACGUCAUGCUGGUGGACAAUAAGAAAAUAAUGUAACAGCUUAGUGUAAAAGCUUUUUCUUCCACGGCUCAGAAAAUCGAUAUGUCAUAAUCCUAAUCUGUUCCUGUCACUUUACCAACAUGGCAGCAUGUCCUUCCUCUAAGCAUUCAGUGACAGGACGUCCCUACACACUAUGUAACUGUUUUCACACAGAUCAUCUCACUGGAUUCACGCUCCUUGAUACUUUACUACACUGUUGUUGUGAUGUAACAGAAGCAAAUAGACCGGUAGUUUAGUGAAGUGUUGAGAGCUUGAAUCCACUGCGAGGGUUUCAAUUAUUUGGGUACUUUUGAAUUGUCUGUGCACACCUUUCUUGUAUAAAAAACCCACAGAGAGUUGAAUUGAGAAAUUGGUGUCGGAGAUAUGAAAAGGCACACUAUUGCCAUGUAGUGAGUUUAAAAUGGGAAUUUCCUUAAUAGGCCAUAGAAAAAUGUCAAAGCUGGUCUGGGGUCGAUUCACUUUUAGAGUAAGAAAGUGAACCACUUCCCCAGAUGAGCUACUUGAUGCUAAACCAUGUGUGUCUAGCCAACGACCGUUAAUACAGAAGUGUCAUAGUGAAGUUUCAGAGCUGUAACCAAGUUUUAUUCACACAACCAGGUUAUUUGACAAAGAUAUGUUCCUAUGGAUUUGUUCAUUCAGUGUCAAAAAGAUGCCAAGUCUACUAAAUAGCCUCAAAUUGACAUAGUCAACCACUUAAGCAUAUUUAAUCACAUUUCCUAUUAAAGCCUAAUUCAUUCAAUUAGAUAUUUGACUUGCUUCGUCAUAUUCGUCUUGUUUUUUGGAGGGAAAAUAACAUUCUUUAGGUCUUGUGGUAUGUCGUAGAUUUACAAUUUGAUUUGAAAGACAACCAUCAACAGCGUAAACGGUUAGCGUUGAACAUGUUCUCUGAGACUGUUGUUAAAACGUCUUUGUCCUCUCAGUUGACGCAUGUAAAUGAUCCGAUUUAGAGAAAUCAAUACAAGUUACAAUAGAUGCAAGUUACUUAAAACACAUGAAGACAAAGUGAAUGACAGAUUCUCCUGAAAAGGACUUCAAGUUGUUUUUUUAAGAUUUUCUUUUUAUCCUAAAUUGAUUUGUUUUUAAAUGUCAUAAUUCAAUCCCAAAACAAACUCAUCCUGUAUCACAGCUGCACAUCUUAACUCGUGGAAAAUGUACUUUUGAAUUAAUUUAAAAACAUGUAAGAAAUUCUUAAAUCUGUACCAUUUGUUUUCUGUCGGGUUCAUACGUUUUUAAUUGAGGGAAAACUGUCUCUUUUGCAGAAUAACUAAGUGUGUUUCUGUCGGGUUUUAAUGACUAACUUCUGCUGUCAUAGAGCUUAUCUAUAAUCCCCUGAAGCAGGUGCCAACAUGGCAGAGAGUCCAUUUGUGUUUUAUGACCUCUACUAGAUCAAAUCAUCUGGGAAAAUAAUUCAAAGGGAUUUCUUUAGACACCAGAUAUGAGCAAAGUGAAUUGGCGUUAAGGUCAUUUACUGGUAAUCCUCUUCUGAAUAUUGAAGUAAACACCGUUGAGUUAUUUUCAAGAGCAGUUUGAUCCCAGGUCUCCUCCCUUUAUAAGUCAAAACACUUUGUUCUGUCGCUUUUUCAUCACCUUUGUCUUUUGUUUUCAUAAUGCAAUGCACACGUUAUGAAAUGUAUAUAGUGUAAAAUAAAAUGGGUUUGUUUUACAUACUGUAUAAUUGCCUAUAUUUUGUUUCAGAAGUGUAACAGAUUUAUGAGAUGGCAGGUUAACACAUUAAAAAGAAGGAACUCGAAA